rnacentral:rRNA from 1 species
UACAGAGGUCUCAAGCGUUGUUCGGAUUCAUUGGGCGUAAAGGGUGCGUAGGUGGCGCCGUAAGUCGGGUGUGAAAUUUCGGAGCUUAACUCCGAAACUGCAUUCGAUACUGCGGUGCUUGAGGACUGGAGAGGAGACUGGAAUUCAUGGUGUAGCAGUGAAAUGCGUAGAGAUCAUGAGGAAGACCAGUGGCGAAGGCGGGCCUCUGGACAGUUCCUGACACUGAGGCACGGAGGCCAGGGGAGCAAACGGG